rnacentral:rRNA from 1 species
CCUACGGGCGGCAGCAGUGAGGAAUAUUGGUCAAUGGGCGCGAGCCUGAACCAGCCAAGUAGCGUGAAGGAUGACUGCCCUACGGGUUGUAAACUUCUUUUAUAAAGGAAUAAAGUGAGGCACGUGUGCCUUUUUGUAUGUACUUUAUGAAUAAGGAUCGGCUAACUCCGUGCCAGCAGCCGCGGUAAUACGGAGGAUCCGAGCGUUAUCCGGAUAUAUGGGGUUAAAAGGGAGCGUAGAUGGAUUGUUAAGUCAGUUGUGAACGUUUGCGGCUCAACCGUAAAAUUGCAAUUGAUACUGGCAGCCUUGAGUACAGUUGAGGUAGGCGGAAUUCGUGGUGUAGCGGUGAAAUGCUUAGAUAUCACGAAGAACUCCGAUUGCGAAGGCAGCCUACUAAACUGCCACUGACAUUGAUGCUCGAAAGUGUGAGUAUCAAACAGGAUUAGAUACCCUGGUAGUC